rnacentral:rRNA from 1 species
GACGAACGCUGGCGGCGUGCCUAACACAUGCAAGUCGAACGGAAAGGCCCUGCUUUUGUGGGGUGCUCGAGUGGCGAACGGGUGAGUAACACGUGAGUAACCUGUCCCUGACUUUGGGAUAACUUCAGGAAACUGGGGAUAAUACCGGAUAGGAGCUCUUGCUGCAUGGUGGGGGUUGGUAAGUUUCGGUGGUUGGGGAUGGACUCGCGGCUUACCAGCUUGUUGGUGGGGUAGUGGCUUACCAAGGCUUUGACGGGUAGCCGGCCUGAGAGGGUGACCGGCCACAAUGGUACUGAGAUACGGCCCAGACGCCAACGGGAGGCAGCGGUGGAGAAUAUUGCACAGUGGGCGGAAGCCAGAUGCAGCAACGCCGCGUGCGGGAAGACGGCCUUCGGGUUGUAAACCGCUUUCGCCUGAGACGAAGCGUGAGUGACGGUAAUGGGUAAAGAAGCACCGGCUAACUACGUG